rnacentral:rRNA from 1 species
AUUCAAGUUGAAGCAACAGUUACCGACCCCAUACUACAUGUUCCUUAAGGCAUACGUCGAAGAGAGGAGGUUUUACGUGAGGAGCAUUAACUCCAAAUCACCCCAACACGUGGUGAGAGACGGAGUACCCAAGGGCAGCGUACUCGGUCCUGGUCACCUCAGAUAUGCCAGUAUCUGUAGACAACAGAAUAUUGACAUGCACCUACGCGGACGACACAGCGCUCCUGUGCUCUGACGCAACUCCUACUGUGGCAGCGCAAGACACGAUUCAGUCAUGGCUGAAAAGGUGGAACAUCACCAUAAACGCUGACAAAUCCACCUACUUCACGUUUACACUCAGACCAGGCAACUGUCCACCCGUCCACAUCAACGGCUCCAACAUACCGUCCAAAUGCGAAGGCCAAGUACCUGGGACUAACAAUUAAAUAAUUAUAAUUAUAUAAUAAUAAUAAUAAUUACAAUUAUUAUAAUAAUUAAAUAACAAAUUAAAGUGAAAUAAGACCUCUGUUCUGCUUUCAGUGGUUUUCAGAUCAAGAGGUAAUGAUUAAUAGAAGCAGUUUGGGGGCAUUAGUAUUACGACGCGAGAGGUGAAAUUCUUGGACCUUCGUAAGACUAACUUAAGCGAAAGCAUUUGCCAAAGAUGUUUUCAUAAAUCAAGAACGAAAGAGGUUCGAAGGCGAUCAGAUACCGCCCUAGUUCUAACCAUAAACGAUGCCAGCUAGCAAUUGGGUGUACCUACUUUUAUGGCUCUCUCAGUCGCUUCCCGAGAAACCAAAGCUUUUGGCAUCCGGGGGAAGUAUGGUUGCAAAGCUGAAACUUAAAGGGCACCACCGGCUUAAUUUGACUCAACACGGAAAAACUUACCAAGUGCGAACAUAAGUGUGUAAGACAGAUUGAUAGCUCUUUCUCGAAUCUAUGGGUGGUGGUGCAUGGCCGUUCUUAGUUCGUGGAGUGAUUUGUCUGGUUAAUUCCGAUAACGAACGAGGCUCAAAUAUAUUAAAUAGAUAUCUUCAGGAUUAUGGUGCUGAAGCUUAUAUAGCCUUCAUUCAUGGUGGUAGUAAAAUGUUUAUUGUGUUUGAAUAUGUUUAUGUAAGUGGAGCUACAAUAAAAGUAUCAACGUGUAUUUCCUAGACCGAUAGGACCGGGUAAACCGCUCAACCACUUUCAUGCUUGGGAUUGUGAACUGAAACUGUUCACAUGAACUUGGAAUUCCCAGUAAGUGUGAGUCAUUAGCUCGCAUUGAUCCCUGCCAUUUGUACGCACCGCCCGUCGCUACUACCGAUUGAAUUAUUUAGUGAGGUCUCCGAACGUGAUCACUGUGACGCCUUGCGUGUUACGGUUGUUUCGCAAAAGUUGACCGAACUUGAUUAUUUAGAGGAAUUAAAAGUCGUAACAAGGUUUCCGUAGGUGAACCUGCGGAAG